UCAUAUAUCCUUCACACCAUUUUCUGUGAAUUUUGAUUGUCUCAGGUUAUUUUGUCUUAUUCAUGCUGAGAAGCUGGUCUCCGUUUAUUGCGGUGUUGGUUUGAAAGGAAAAAGCUCCUGAGUAGUUUAAGAUUGUUAUACCAAGAAUUCCUGUAUAUUUUAUAGCCAAGAAGAAACAAGUAAUGUAGUUGAUUACGGUUAUCUCACUAUCUGUUCUUUUCAAUUUUGGAAAUUAGGAGAAGGUUGUGAAUCCAUUAUUUGAGAAGCGUCCAAAGCAAUUCGGUAUUGGAGGAGCUUUACCUCCAAAGAAGGAUCUGCACCAUUUUGUGAAGUGGCCUAAGGUUGUUUGCAUUCAAAGGAAAAAAAGGAUCUUUAAGCAGAGGUUGAAAGUCCCACCAGCACUGAACCAAUUUACAAAGACUCUUGAUAAAAACCUUGAGAACACCACAACUGGAACUGUAAACAUUGGGAGUGAAGAUUGUGCAGAACUUGUUGAGAAUACUUCUCUUCAAUUCCAGCCUUUCAUUUCAUUAACACGGUGCAUGCUGUUGGGGCACUACCUUAGAGGCCUCGAGUAUCGGUUGGAGCUAAUGGAGCUUCUGUUGUUGACAAGCAGUCCCGGCAAUAAUAGUUGUGGUGAUGAGCAGGUUGUUUAGAAUUGCUCUCUAAUUCCAGUGCUACCAUCUGUAUAUAUGUGUGUAAAUCGACAUAUUGACUAACUUCUUUUACUGAAAGAGGUAAGAAUCGGACAAGAUUAGGCCCUUCACUCUCUUACAGAUGGCAAAUUAUUUUUAUGUAUAAAAAAGAUACAUUGUUUUGUGUUAGUGUCGAGUUUAGUGUUGGUAUGUUAAUGUUUUUUAUCGAGAAAUGGAGAAACCUUGUUGAUAAUGCUCAUUAUUAGUUGCAUUAAGGUUUGCUUUGAACCAUCUUGAAUGUCAUUGUUGCAAGCCUAAACUAAUAAAAAGGCAGUUUAACUAUCGCUUUAUAUUAGCCCCUUAAUUAUUUCUUUAAUUUUUUUGAUUUCUUCAGUGUCAACUUUCAAAUUUUAGUGAAAAUCUUCUUCUUUGGAAGAAAAAUUUGACCGAACUGUUAAAAUUUUAAUGUUACUACGUUUUUUAAAAUUUUAACAUUUUGAAAAUUUUUAUUAAUUUUAUCAUGUGUGGACUGCUAAUAACUUUUCCGAAGAAAAACAAUUUGAUUAAAAUUUGAAUUUUGAUAGUGAAAAUGAUAAAAAUGAAAGAAUAAGUGUUAAAUUUGUGAUUAUGCUAUGAAGAAGCCCUCAUAUAUUUUGUGCACUUUUUCCUUUUAAUUUGUAUUCUAGUUAGUGGUUAAUGUGCAAAUAUGUUUUAGUUAAAAUUGAAUUUUGUUAUUAUACUUUUGGUUCUUGUAUAGAGCCUCAAUGCUUCUUUGCAUAGUUCUAAAUAUGCCUUUGUAUGCGUUUUGUUUUUCUGCAAUUCUACUUCUAUUGAACAGUUAUGGCUUGGUGAAACAUUUAGCCAUGCUUUUUAUUGGUUCCUUAUCUAUACAUGGUUACCAAUAAGUGUUAAAAAUGUUUUUCCUCUUGUUAUUACCUGCUAUUGAGUGCUUUAGACACAAACAUACACAUAUCUUUUGGCUUUCUUUCUCUAUCUUAAUUUUCACUUUAAAUUUUGAGAUGAAACAUAUGAAUGGGUUUUCCACCUCUAAAUGUAGUUAGUAAUCAACAAGUUGUAAACAUCUUGUGUUUAAUAUACCUUACCUCCAUAUUAAAUCAAUCAUGAUUAUAUUGUCGAGCGAUUAUCCGCGUACUACUUUUAUCAACUUUGGAUGUUCCUAAUAGAAAACUUUGCACAAUGUCAAGAUGGUCAUGUAGCUAUUAUUAUAGAUCUCGACCGCGGAAAGUUAGCGAGACUUGUUGUUGUUCCUCCUAAAGUUGAUUGGUGAUCGACUAGCAUGAAUGGAGGAGUUGAGAAGGAAAGAGGAUGCAACAGCACGAGAUCUCAUUGCGAAGCUGCAGGCUCGGGGAUUGUCAGCAACUAGUCACACUAUCACUAUCCACUGCUUGUUACUGUUAUGUUUAGAAUUAUUUUAUGGCAUGUAUAGAAUAGACUAGUGGCGGAAGAAUAUUUUUGGUUAAUGUAUAUAAGCCAUGCGAAAAUGACAUCUUUUGAAUGUUUACUUAGAGAAGUUUAAAUUUUAUCCCUGGCUGUGCUUAGUACUUAUUUAAACGAAUGAUCUUUAUUUCAAGAAAAAGUUCAAAA